CACAGAUACACAGUGACAGGAGUGAAUUUAAUCCUUCAUCAAAGAACUUGAACCUGCAGAUCCAUUAUUGGGCCACAUCACCUCAAUACAUCAGAAGUAAUGUUUUGAAUAAAUCCUGGCGAUACUGAGGGGAAACAAUCUUUUUACCAUCACUUUGAGAAAAAGUUAUCAGGCAACAACCAACAUGGUUUUCUUGGAGACACAUCAUGCCAGCCCCUCUGACCAAGCGAUAAGACAGGUAGAUAAAGGGGAAAUGAGAGAUGUAAUCUUACAGACUUCUGUUAGUCCCCUGAUUCUGUCCCUUGUGACAUUCUCAUCAGCGGGCUGGGAAGAUGCAAGCAGGCAUACCACACCCAAAGGGCGGUUAUCGCUGGUGUGCUGUCAACCUGGGGACGUCUAACAAGUGAUGUUCCACAGGUGUCC
rnacentral:lncRNA from 1 species